UACGUAGGGGGGCGAGCGUUGUCCGGAAUCAUUGGGCGUAAAGCGCGUGUAGGCGGCCCGGUAAGUCCGCUGUGAAAGUCCAGGGCUCAACCCUGGGAUGCCGGUGGAUACUGUCGGGCUCGAGUCCGGAAGAGGCGAGUGGAAUUCCUGGUGUAGCGGUGAAAUGCGUAGAGAUCAUGAGGAAGACCAGUGGCGAAGGCGGGGUCUCUGGACAGUUCCUGACACUGAGGCACGAAGGCCAGGGGAGCAAACGGG
rnacentral:rRNA from 1 species